AGUUUGAUCCUGGCUCAGAGUGAUCGCUGGCGGCGUGCUUAACACAUGCAAGUCGAGCGAAUUUCGACAGUGUAUCGUCGAAGUUAGCGGCAGACGGGUGAGUAAUACUUGGGUAAUCUACCCUUGAGAGGGAAACAACCUGCCGAAAGGUGGGCUAAUGUCCCAUAAGACCACAGGAAUGCAUAUUCCAGAGGUCAAAGCUCCGCAAGGGGCGCUUGAGGAGGAGUCCGAGUCCUAUCAGGUAGUUGGUGAGGUAAUGGCUCACCAAGCCUAUGACGGGUAGCCGACCUGAAAGGGUGACCGGCCACACUGGCACUGAGACACGGGCCAGACUCCUACGGGAGGCAGCAGUGGGGAAUUUUGGACAAUGGGGGCAACCCUGAUCCAGCGACGCCGCGUGGAGGAUGAAGGUCUUCGGAUUGUAAACUCCUUUUGGAGGGGAUGAAUGCCUACGUGAAGAACGUAGGGUGACUGUACUCUCUGAAUAAGCCACGGCUAACUACGUGCCAGCAGCCGCGGUAAUACGUAGGUGGCAAGCGAUACUCGGAAUCACUAGGCGUAAAGCGCAGGUAGGCGGUUUGGUAAGUCUUUUGUGAAAGCUCCUGGCUCAACUGGGAGAGGUCAAAGGAAACUACCAGGCUAGAGUGUGGCAGAGGAAACUGGAAUUCCCGGUGUAGCGGUGAAAUGCGUAGAUAUCGG
rnacentral:rRNA from 1 species